UGGAAACUCUGCCACAUGCCUGUUGA
rnacentral:sRNA from 1 species